rnacentral:rRNA from 1 species
UACGUAGGGUGCGAGCGUUGUCCGGAAUUAUUGGGCGUAAAGAGUGUGUAGGCGGUGCUCCCAGUCUGUUGUGAAAUCUCCCGGCUUAACUGGGAGGGUGCAGCGGAAACUAGAGUGCUAGAGGGUGGGAGAGGUAAGCGGAAUUCCUGGUGUAGCGGUGAAAUGCGUAGAUAUCAGGAGGAACACCUGUGGUGUAGACAGCUUACUGGACCACUUCUGACGCUGAGACACGAAAGCGUGGGUAGCAAACAGG